rnacentral:misc_RNA from 1 species
GAAAUGCGAUACGUAAUGUGAAUUGCAGAAUUUUGUGAAUCAUCGAAUCUUUGAACGCAUAUUGCACUCUCUGGUAUUCCGGAGAGUACACCUGUUUCAGUAUCAAAAAUGUCAUCCAAAGUUUGGUUUGUUUGAGCCAAAUCUUAUGGGAUUUGGGUUUUGCAGAAUUUUUGUUCCGCUGACCUUAAAUAAUUUAGCCACAACAUGAAAAGUCUUUUGGGCGAUAAGGCGUAAUAGUUGGUACUUUCGAGUCCAUCCCUUUCGCUGAAGCCUGUCUUUUUUUGAAACACUGGCUUAAUAAAUAUGGAAAAUGACAUAUAUAUAUUUAUAUAUAUAUUUCACCAUUGUUUAGAUCUGAAAUCAGGUGGGACUACCCGCUGAACUUAA